CUGGUAUCCCCGGGGACUUAAAAACAGGGCCCUCAGGGCAGUCAGCCCACACCUUCCUUCCCAACUGCAGCAACAUGGCCUUUCUCUGGCUUCUCUCCUGCUUCGCCCUUGUGGGGGCUGCCUUCGGUCAGUGUGGGGUCCCCGCCAUCGAACCCGUGUUGAAUGGCCUGUCCAGGAUCGUUAAUGGCGAGGACGCUGUCCCGGGCUCCUGGCCCUGGCAGGUGUCCCUGCAGGAUGAAACCAGAGGUGGGAG